ensembl:snRNA U6 U6 spliceosomal RNA
GUACUCGCUUCAGCAGCACGUAUACUAAAAAACUGGAACAAUACAGAGAUUAGCAUGGCCCCUGUGCAAGGAUGACACGCAAAUUUGUGAAGCGUUCCAUAAAAAU